GACGAACGCUGACGGUGUGCUUUAGACAUGCAAGUCGAACGAGAAAGCCCUUCGGGUUAGUAAAGUGGCGAACGGGUGAGUAACACGUGGGCAAUCUGCCCCUCGCAGGGGGACAACCGGAGGAAACUCCGGCUAAUACCCCGUAAGUUCAAAGGGAGGCAUCUCUCUUCGAAGAAAGGUAGCUUCGGCCAUCCGGCGAGGGAUGAGCCCGCGGUGCAUUAGCUAGUUGGUGGGGUAACGGCCUACCAAGGCGACGAUGCAUAGCUGGUCUGAGAGGAUGAUCAGCCACACUGGGACUGAGACACGGCCCAGACUCCUACGGGAGGCAGCAGUCGGGAAUCUUGCGCAAUGGGCGAAAGCCUGACGCAGCAACACCGUGUGUGUGAGGAA
rnacentral:rRNA from 1 species